rnacentral:rRNA from 1 species
UANUCUGGUGCCAGCAGCCGCGGUAAUUCCAGCUCCAAUAGCGUAUAUUAAAGUUGUUGCAGUUAAAACGCUCGUAGUCGGAUUUCGGGGCAGGUUUGCCGGUCUGCCGAUGGGUAUGCACUGGUAGAACUGUCCUUCCUUCCGGAGACGGCGCCUACUCUUAACUGAGCGGGUGUCGGAGACGGAUCGUUUACUUUGAAAAAAUCAGAGUGUUUCAAGCAGGCAGCUCGCUUUUGCAUGGAUUAGCAUGGGAUAAUGAAAUAGGACUUUGGUGCUAUUUUGUUGGUUUCGAACACCGAAGUAAUGAUUAACAGGGACAGUCAGGGGCACUCGUAUUCCGCCGAGAGAGGUGAAAUUCUUAGACCAGCGGAAGACGAACCACUGCGAAAGCAUUUGCCAGGGAUGUUUUCACUGAUCAAGAACGAAAGUUAGGGGAUCGAAGACGAUCAGAUACCGUCGUAGUCUUAACCAUAAACCAUGCCGACUAGGGAUUGGAGGAUGUUCCUAUGUGACUCCUUCAGCACCUUUCGGGAAACUAAAGUCUUUGGGUUCCGGGGGGAGUAUGGUCGCAAGGCUGAAACUUAAAGGAAUUGACGGAAGGGCACCACCAGGAGUGGAGCCUGCGGCUUAAUUUGACUCAACACGGGGAAACUUACCAGGUCCAGACAUUGUGAGGAUUGACAGAUUGAGAGCUCUUUCUUGAUUCGAUGGGUGGUGGUGCAUGGCCGUUCU